rnacentral:rRNA from 1 species
CGGGACGGGUGAGUAACGCGUGGGUAACCUACCCUGUACACACGGAUAACAUACCGAAAGGUAUGCUAAUACGGGAUAAUAUAUCUGAGAGGCAUCUCUUGAAUAUCAAAGGUGAGCCAGUACAGGAUGGACCCGCGUCUGAUUAGCUAGUUGGUAAGGUAACGGCUUACCAAGGCGACGAUCAGUAGCCGACCUGAGAGGGUGAUCGGCCACAUUGGAACUGAGACACGGUCCAA